UACGUAGGUGGCAAGCGUUGUUCGGAAUUACUGGGCGUAAAGCGCGCGUAGGCGGCUCUUCAAGUCAGGCGUGAAAGCCCCGGGCUUAACUCGGGAACUGCGCUUGAUACUGUCGAGCUAGAGUGUGGAAGGGGCGAUUGGAAUUCCGUGUGUAGCGGUGAAAUGCGUAGAUAUACGGAGGAACACCAGGGGCGAAGGCGGAUCGCUGGGCCAACACUGACGCUGAUGCGCGAAAGCGUGGGGAGCGAACCGG
rnacentral:rRNA from 1 species